AUUGAACGCUGGCGGCAUGCUUUACACAUGCAAGUCGAACGGUAGAGGGGGCAACCCCUUGAGAGUGGCGAACGGGUGAGUAAUGCAUCGGAACGUGCCCAGUCGUGGGGGAUAACGCAGCGAAAGCUGUGCUAAUACCGCAUACGUUCUCUGGAUGAAAGCGGGGGACCGAAAGGCCUCGCGCGAUUGGAGCGGCGGAUGUCGGAUUAGGUAGUUGGUGGGGUAAAGGCUCACCAAGCCAACGAUCUGUAGCUGGUCUGAGAGGACGACCAGCCCAACUGGGACUGAGACACGGCCCAGAAUCCUACGGGAGGCAGCAGUGGGGAAUUUUGGACAAUGGGCGCAAGCCUGAUCCAGCAAUGCCGCGUGCAGGAAGAAGGCCUUCGGGUUGUAAACUGCUUUUGUACGGAACGAAACGGUCCUGGUUAAUACCCGGGGCUAAUGACGGUACCGUAAGAAUAAGCACCGGCUAACUACGUGCCAGCAGCCGCUGUAACAC
rnacentral:rRNA from 1 species